rnacentral:rRNA from 1 species
CCUACGGGGAGCAGCAGUGAGGAAUAUUGGUCAAUGGACGCAAGUCUGAACCAGCCAUGCCGCGUGCAGGAAGACGGCUCUAUGAGUUGUAAACUGCUUUUGUACGAGGGUAAACUCAGAUACGCGUAUCUGUCUGAAAGUAUCGUACGAAUAAGGAUCGGCUAACUCCGUGCCAGCAGCCGCGGUAAUACGGAGGAUUCAAGCGUUAUCCGGAUUUAUUGGGUUUAAAGGGUGCGUAGGCGGUCGGAUAAGUUAGAGGUGAAAGCCCGAGGCUCAACUUCGGAAUUGCCUCUGAUACUGUUCGGCUAGAGAGUGGUUGCGGUAGGCGGAAUGUAUGGUGUAGCGGUGAAAUGCUUAGAGAUCAUACAGAACACCGAUUGCGAAGGCAGCUUACCAAGCUACUUCUGACGUUGAGGCACGAAAGCGUGGGGAGCAAACAGGAUUAGAUACCCUAGUAGUC